UACAGAGGGUGCUAGCGUUGCUCGGAAUUAUUGGGCGUAAAGGGCGCGUAGGCGGGAUGGCAAGUCGGUCGUGAAAUCCCUCGGCUCAACCGAGGAACGUCGAUCGAUACUGCUGUUCUUGAGGAUUGCAGAGGAGACUGGAAUUCCCGGUGUAGCGGUGAAAUGUGUAGAGAUCGGGAGGAACACCGGUGGCGAAGGCGGGUCUCUGGGCAAUUCCUGACGCUGAGGCGCGAAAGCCAGGGGAGCAAACGGG
rnacentral:rRNA from 1 species